rnacentral:rRNA from 1 species
UACGGAGGGGGCUAGCGUUGUUCGGAAUUACUGGGCGCAAAGCGCACGUAGGCGGCUUUGUAAGUUAGAGGUGAAAGCCCGGGGCUUAACCCCGGAAUAGCCUUUAAGACUGCAUCGCUUGAACACGGGAGAGGUGAGUGGAAUUCCGAGUGUAGAGGUGAAAUUCGUAGAUAUUCGGAAGAACACCAGUGGCGAAGGCGGCUCACUGGACCGUUGUUGACGCUGAGGUGCGAAAGCGUGGGGAGCAAACAGG